CAGACUCCUACGGGAGGCAGCAAGUGGGGAAUAUUGCACAAUGGGGGAAACCCUGAUGCAGCGACGCCGCGUGGAGGAAGAAGGUCUUCGGAUUGUAAACUCCUGUUGUUGAGGAAGAUAAUGACGGUACUCAACAAGGAAGUGACGGCUAACUACGUGC
rnacentral:rRNA from 1 species